CUCCACCAUGUGAAGGCACAGUGAGAAGAUAGCUGUCUGCAAACAAAGGAAAGAGCUCUCACCAGGAAUAAAAUCAGUCGGCACCCUGAUCUUAGACUUCCCAGCCUCCAGAACUAGCACAGGCUCCGGACGCGCAGGCUCAGCAGCCAUGGCUCACGGGCCCAGCCACUCCGCGGCAUGUGGGAUCUUCCCGGACCGGGGCACGAACCCAUGUCCCCUGCAUCGGCAGCGGACUCUCAACCACUGCACCACCAGGGAAGACCUGUAAAGACCACUCUUAAGCUUACCUGUAACCCUGCCUGAUCCACAGUGGAUGACGAGCUCCUAACAGGAGUAUUAUGUAGCAGAAAGUGCAACGCCAAAAAUGGUCCAAGGAUCAGAACUCUCUCCUAUAUUUAUGGGUCCCACCUAGAUCCCUCAGGAUGCCUGUAAAUUCUAUGUGGGAGAGAGACAUGUUGGAAGUCUCAACAUCCCCAGAGACUCUCUUCCCCAUCACCAUCCCACACCUCCUUACCUUGUUGAGUGAGGGCAUGUCAGUGAGGCAUGCUUGGGCUUCCUCAAUUUACUGCUCAGAAAACAGCUAUCUCAUGAGUUAGGUUGUCCAAGAUCCCUCCCAGUCUUCCUGAAAUGCAAUAUCAUCCAACUAUGUUUAGAGAAAUUGCUCUGAUUUCUGAAGUAUGGAUAGUUCCUCACUGUGCCUAAUGCACAUGUCCCCUAUUUAUGCAUUCUAGCUUAGAGAUCAUUGUAUUGACACAAAAAUUAAGGCUCUAAGAGUGACUUGUCCAAACAACUAGUUAGUGACUCAGCAAAGUUUUUAAUCAUCCUAUCUGAUGUGCACUCUAGUGUCCUUCCUUUUGUGCCACCUUGACUCAGAAUUAACACAAGAAUGUUGUUUGACAUCUUGAUUUUAAUGAUACUAUUAAGAUAUAACAUGAAGGAAUCAGAAAGCACCUUAAAAUUUCAUUACUUUUAAAAUUGUUAUUUUAAAAUAUAAAAAAAAAGUCAGUAAGCCUUGGGAAGGAGAGAAAGAAAAGUCAAGAUGGGACCUAGAGAAUAUGUUAAAUGAAUAUGAUAUGAUUUAUCAGUUCAAAGGCUAAAUAUUGAAUCUGUUCUGAACUUAGUAUAUAUUUCAUAUAUUUGUACUUCAAAAAUACCAUUAUUAUCAAAUUUAAGCCUCACUUUUUUCUUUUUAAAAGAAGAGUUAUAUUUCAUUUAUUUAUUUUUAAAUAUCAAUUACUCUAUGUAUUUAUUAUUUUCAGACCUAAAGCAGGUAUACUUUGCUAUCCAUUUUUCCUUCCAGUUUCAACGAGAUAUAAUUAACAUAAAGCACUGUAUAAGUUUAAAAGUUGUACAUCAUAAUGAUUUGACUUGCAUGCAUCAUGAAAUGAUUACCACAGUAAGCUUAGUGAACAUACAUCAUUCUAUAUAGACGCAAAAGAAAAAAAAAUUUUUCCCUGUGAUGAGAUCUCUUAGGAUUUACUCUCUUAACAACUUUCAUCCUUCCCCCAACACCCUCCCCUGCCCCCCACUGCCUCUGGUAACCACAAAUCCAGUCUCUUUUCCUGAGCUUGCUUGCUUGUUUUUUUGUUUGUUUUCAAAGUAUAAUUGACUUACAACGCUAUAUUAGUUCCUGGUGCACAACACAGUGAUUCUCAAUUUUUUUAAAAAGUAAAUUUUACUAUGUUUGAAUCUCUAACUAAAUUCUUUCCAGUAAAACAUUAAAAAGAAAAAGUGAAAACUUAUUAGUAUUUUUCUAUAAUCAAAGAAGCAAUCAUUUGCCUUGACAGGACAUGUUACCUAUGUUCAUGGAAUAAACUUUCCAAAGUGCUGAUUAA